CCAACACUGUGUUGCCCUGCUACGUUUGAAAUCAGAGUUCCCUGCAGAUAACGUUCUUUCUGCCUGCCCGCCCUGGAAGAAGUGAACUGACCGGAGUCUUCAACAAAAAUGAAGCUAUGAAAAGAAGGAAGGAGACGUCCAGGACUGAACAGAGCUGUCACCUGUCACAGUGCAGUGCACCGACUGACUGCCGCUAUUUGCUUGGAUGUUGCUGAAAGAAAGGAGGCAUUCUUCAUUGUGCAGCACUAGCCUACUGUGGAGGCCGAGAGAGUUUUGACGAGGCUUCUGUACCCAGGAGGCGGAGGCAGCAAUUCCAGCUUCAAUGCGCACAGUCCUUUAAAAGGGACACCCAGCUAAGAUUUUAUUGCAAAUUCUACACAGAAUGCACUGCUCUACACAUUUGGUUUUGGAAACACUGUGUAUUAUUGUAAGUGUACACCAGGGGUGGGGAACCUUUUUCAUUUGAAGGGCCACUUCAAAUUACUCUGAGGGCCG